CUGAAUUGUCAACAAGAGUUGUUGCUGGCCCUCAAACGGGGGCAUGUGCACGCUCUGUUCACACAUCCACUCACACCCUGUGCACCCUCUGUAGUCCUAUGGUCGGGGGUCUCGUCCUCCUGCUGUGGUUCCGCAUCUUUACACACACACUGUAACAAAGUCUCAUGGAAUGCAUGUCGCGUUUAACGCAAUACAAUA
rnacentral:misc_RNA from 1 species